UACAGAGGGUGCGAGCGUUAAUCGGAAUUACUGGGCGUAAAGCGUGCGUAGACGGUUAUCUAAGUCGGAUGUGAAAGCCCCGGGCUCAACCUGGGAAUUGCAUUCGAGACUGAAUAGCUAGGGUGCGGUAGAGGGAAGCGGAAUUUCCGGUGUAGCGGUGAAAUGCGUAGAUAUCAGAAGGAACAUCAGUGGCGAAAGCGACUUCCUGGACCAGAACUGACGAUCAGGCACGAAAGCGUGGGGAGCAAACAGG
rnacentral:rRNA from 1 species